CAGCUCUGGAGGCCUGUACUCCGAAAGGUGCUAGAAACAAAGCCUGUGAGUGUGAGCUAGGACUCCAGAGCCCCUCACCCACUACCACCAUGGAAGGAAAAUGUGCCAAAGGGAUGCUGGGCUAGCUCUACGCUUCAUUUGUGCAAGCUGAGAAGUCACGUCCUCCCUGGAGACUGCCACAUGACCGGUGAGCUCCCCUCACACCUGUUACCCUCGUCACAACGGCUUUCCCUCCGGCUUAUCUGGAGCUAAGGGCCCCUGCUGGUGCUCUUCUGCUCACCAGGAAGCCACCCGACCCUCCUCGUCUGACCUGCCUGACUGCUGGAGCCUCAGUGCUGCUGUGUAAGGAUGCUCACAAACUCUCUAAGCCUGUGCAUCAGCCUCUCCUGAAGUGGA